UUCAAGGCCAAGCGAGUGAACGACUUCACGAUCAAGGAUGGAAAGAUCGCACCGACCGAUGGCUCCGCAGAAGCCGUCACGGUUGCCGAGCUGAUGCGGAUGGUGGGGCGGGAUCGGAUCGNNNNNNNNNNNNGGCCGACAAGGCGUCAUCGGAAACAGAGCAGCGCGAUGCCUACAAUAGCUUCAAAUAUAUGCGCCCAUCGUCACCAAGUCAUGCGACGUAUGCAUGGUGCGCGCAAUUCGUGGAGGUUCGUGUCGA
rnacentral:misc_RNA from 1 species